CGGCGCGGCCCGGACGAUGUGAGGACCCGGCGGCGGGGAGCGGGCGGUGGGAGACAGGCACCGGCGGGGCAGCGGAGGAGGAUGAAGCCUGAGCACCAGAGCUUAGGGACCCAGUGAGGGACGCCGGCGCCGGCCCGCCCUCCGUCGCGCGUGACGUCAGCACGUCCUGUAGCCUGACCACGCCCCCAUGAGUUGCUAUAAAGGCGGGUUCGACGCGGACGCAGUUUAGGGGUGACGGUGAUCUCCCCCGUUCAGCAGCUCGGUAUGAUUUGCGCGGGUGUGGCGAGCGAAGCGUGAUGUCGCGGGAGAGGCGCAUGAGGAUAGGCUUUGGGAAACUACUGCUGAACAGGAAACCGAACAUGCCCAUAACCGAGAGAAGCCGCUAGUCUUUCCCGUGGGACUCCUUCACAAGCUGCUAGCUUAGACCAGAAUACUAAUGGGCGGGCUACUACAUAGAUGCAGAGAAGCGCUCUGACGCCGCGGCAGGUGAGGAAUUGCCCAAAGUCACUCCAAACAAGGCUAGGAUCUGAGGGGCUCACGCAUUCUUCACAGGAGCGCACUGUGAAGUGCAGAAGCAAAGAUUUUGUUUCUUCUUUGAUUUGUUGUUUGGUGUCUUUAAAAAUAAAUCACGCAGCUCAAGCUACGCCUGAACUCCUGAUCCUCCUGCCUUGGAUUACAGACUGAUCCCACCUGCUCUUGCACGGGUUUUUAAAUUUGAUAUCCAGUGUUGAUCGCCAGUUUGCCAACCAAUGCCCUUGUCAUCAGAGGGUCACAGUCAAGGGUGCAGAGCAGUAGACUAGACCAGUUGAGAUCAGAUGAGGUGCAUCCAGGCAAGAACAAGGGGAAAGUGUACAGCCAUCCAAUCUACUGAGUCACCCGGCAUGGCAAAAUUCCCAGCACAUGAUAGGAGGCUUUGUGCAGAGCUGGCUUUGGGAAAAGGAAUGUGAUAUGGUCCCCUCUCCAAAUAGUCUCAUUUUCUUGUAAGAACGGUAUGCUUUUGUAAGGAAAAUGCAUUCAAAGAAUAAAGUCACUUACCUCUAA